GAUGAACGCCGGCGGCGUGCCUAAUACAUGCAAGUCGAGCGAACAGACGAGGAGCUUGCUCCUCUGACGUUAGCGGCGGACGGGUGAGUAACACGUGGAUAACCUACCUAUAAGACUGGGAUAACUUCGGGAAACCGGAGCUAAUACCGGAUAAUAUAUUGAACCGCAUGGUUCAAUAGUGAAAGACGGUUUUGCUGUCUCUUAUAGAUGGAUCCGCGCCGCAUUAGCUAGUUGGUAAGGUAACGGCUUACCAAGGCAACGAUGCGUAGCCGACCUGAGAGGGUGAUCGGCCACACUGGAACUGAGACACGGUCCAGACUCCUAAGGGAGGCAGCAGUAGGGAAUCUGCCGCAAUGGGCGAAAGCCUGACGGAGCAACGCCGCGUGAGUGAUGAAGGUCUUCGGAUCGUAAAACUCUGUUAUUAGGGAAGAACAAAUGUGUAAGUAACUAUGCACGUCUUGACGGUACCUAAUCAGAAAGCCACGGCUAACUACGUG
rnacentral:rRNA from 1 species